rnacentral:rRNA from 1 species
CCUACGGGAGGCAGCAGUGGGGAAUAUUGCACAAUGGGGGAAAGCCUGAAGCAGCGAAGUAGCGUGAGGGAUGAAGGCUUUCGGUAUGUAAAGCUUUAUUUGUAGGGACGUGAAAAGUCGGUAGUUGGCUAUGAUGUAUCGGCUAAAUGCGUGCCAGUCGGCGCGGUAAUUCGGAGGGGGCGAGCGUUUUCCGGAAUCACUGGGUGUAAAGGGAGCGUAGACGGUUUAUCAAGCCAGAGGUGAAAGGCGGGGGCACAACCCCCGGACUGCAUUGGAAACUGUACGUUUUGAGUACAGUAGAGGUAAGUGGAAUUCCUAGUGUAGCGGUGAAAUGCUUAGAUAUUAGGAGGAACACCAGUGGCGAAGGCAGCUUACUGGACUGUAACUGACAUUGAGGCUCGAAAGCGUGGGUAGCAAACAGGAUUAGAUACCCGAGUAGUC